GUCAGAUGCCGCGGCCCAUUUAGAGUGCCUCUGGCUCCUGUAGUAUUGGCAGCCUGGGAGGAAGUGACAAUUGGUCGCUUCUCCCCAGCUUCAUAGAGAGAGUAUCUUGUUGAAGGGAGGAAGAGGCAACCCUAAUCCUAUUAAAUAAUUACUAGAUGAUAUUAUUUCAUUUUCCUGGAUAUAGACCAGCUAUAAGGUCUCACUAGCUGGUUAGUGCCAGCCAGACUGUCUAGCUGCCAAAACAAAAAUGAAUCCUGUAGCAAAAUGUGCCUAAAUAUUAGAAGAUAUAUAUACAGUAUGCAGUAGCAAUAAUAAAACAC